rnacentral:rRNA from 1 species
CCUACGGGAGGCAGCAGUGGGGAAUAUUGGACAAUGGGCGAAAGCCUGAUCCAGCCAUGCCGCGUGUGUGAAGAAGGCCUUCGGGUUGUAAAGCACUUUUGGCGGGAACGAAAAGGACUGUGCCAAUACCACGGUUCGAUGACGGUACCCGCAGAAUAAGCACCGGCUAACUACGUGCCAGCAGCCGCGGUAAUACGUAGGGUGCGAGCGUUAAUCGGAAUUACUGGGCGUAAAGCGUACGCAGGCGGUUUGUUAAGCUAGAUGUGAAAGCCCCGGGCUCAACCUGGGAACUGCAUUUCGAACUGGCAAACUAGAGUAUGAUAGAGGGUGGUAGAAUUUCAGGUGUAGCGGUGAAAUGCGUAGAUAUCUGGAGGAACAUCAGUGGCGAAGGCGACUCCCUGGCCAAAGACUGACGCUCAUGUGCGAAAGUGUGGGUAGCGAACAGGAUUAGAUACCCUGGUAGUCCAUGC